rnacentral:tRNA from 1 species
GGUCCUAUGGUCUAACGGUCAUGACAUUGGACUUUGAAUCCAGUAGCCCGAGUUCGACU